rnacentral:rRNA from 1 species
UGGGGAAUAUUGCACAAUGGGCGAAAGCCUGAUGCAGCGACGCCGCGUGAGGGACGACGGCCUUCGGGUUGUAAACCUCUUUCAGCAGGGACGAAGCGCAAGUGACGGUACCUGCAGAAGAAGCACCGGCUAACUACGUGCCAGCAGCCGCGGUAAUACGUAGGGUGCGAGCGUUGUCCGGAAUUAUUGGGCGUAAAGAGCUCGUAGGCGGUUUGUCGCGUCGGCCGUGAAAACUUGGGGCUUAACCCCGAGCCUGCGGUCGAUACGGGCAGACUUGAGUUCGGCAGGGGAGACUGGAAUUCCUGGUGUAGCGGUGAAAUGCGCAGAUAUCAGGAGGAACACCGGUGGCGAAGGCGGGUCUCUGGGCCGAUACUGACGCUGAGGAGCGAAAGCGUGGGGA